rnacentral:tRNA from 1 species
UUAGAAUGCCUGCCUGUCACGCAGGAGGUCGCGGGUUCGAGUCCCGUCCGGACCGCCAUUGUCGUUGGGCCAUAG